UGAGGAAUAUUGCACAAUGGGCGCAAGCCUGAUGCAGCGACGCCGCGUGGGUGAUGAAGGUCUUCGGAUCGUAAAGCCCUUUUCUGCGUGACGAGACAGGACGGUAGCGCAGGAAUAAGUCUCGGCUAACUACGUGCCAGCAGCCGCGGUAAAACGUAGGAGACGAACGUUAUCCGGAGUUACUGGGCGUAAAGGGCGUGUAGGCGGUUUGUUAAGUCUGGCGUGAAAGCUCUCGGCUAAACCGGGAGAGGUCGUUGGAUACUGGCGAACUAGAGGAUGGUAGAGGCGUGUGGAAUUCCGGGUGUAGUGGUGAAAUGCGUAGAGAUCCGGAGGAACACCAGUGGCGAAGGCGACACGCUGGGCCAUACCUGACGCUAAAGCGCGACAGCAUGGGGAGCAAACGGGAUUAGAUACCCCGGUAGUCCCUGAGCGGGCUGGCAAGGCGCAU
rnacentral:rRNA from 1 species